rnacentral:rRNA from 1 species
AGUACGCGUGGGAAUCUACCCAUCUCUACGGAAUAACGCAUGGAAACGUGUGCUAAUACCGUAUACGUCCUUUUGGAGAAAGAUUUAUCGGAGAUGGAUGAGCCCGCGUUGGAUUAGCUAGUUGGUGGGGUAAAGGCCUACCAAGGCGACGAUCCAUAGCUGGUCUGAGAGGAUGAUCAGCCACACUGGGACUGAGACACGGCCCAGACUCCUACGGGAGGCAGCAGUGGGGAAUAUUGGACAAUGGGCGCAAGCCUGAUCCAGCCAUGCCGCGUGUGUGAUGAAGGCCCUAGGGUUGUAAAGCACUUUCACCGGAGAAGAUAAUGACGGUAUCCGGAGAAGAAGCCCCGGCUAACUUCGUGCCAGCAGCCGCGGUAAUACGAAGGGGGCUAGCGUUGUUCGGAUUUACUGGGCGUAAAGCGCACGUAGGCGGACUAUUAAGUCAGGGGUGAAAUCCCGGGGCUCAACCCCGGAACUGCCUUUGAUACUGGUAGUCUUGAGUUCGAGAGAGGUGACNGGAAUUCCGAGUGUAGAGGUGAAAUUCGUAGAUAUUCGCAGGAACACCAGUGGCNANCGCGGCUCACUGGCUCGAUACUGACCCUGAGGUGCGAAAGCNAGGGGAGUAAACANGACUNNAUACCCGGGUGANNCCACCCC